UACGUAGGCAGCAAGCGUUGUUCGGAGUUACUGGGCGUAAAGGGUGUGUAGGCGGUUCUUUAAGUUUGGGGUGAAAUCUCCCGGCUCAACCGGGAGGGUGCGCCGAAUACUGAGGGACUCGAGUGCGGGAGAGGAAAGUGGAAUUCCUGGUGUAGCGGUGAAAUGCGUAGAUAUCAUGAGGAACACCGGUGGUGUAGACGGCUUUCUGGACCGUAACUGACGCUGAGACACGAAAGCGUGGGUAGCAAACAGG
rnacentral:rRNA from 1 species